rnacentral:rRNA from 1 species
GAUGAACGCUGGCGGCGUGCCUAAUACAUGCAAGUCGAGCGAACAGACGAGGAGCUUGCUCCUCUGACGUUAGCGGCGGACGGGUGAGUAACACGGGGAUAACCUACCUAUAAGACUGUGAUAACUUCGGGAAACCGGAGCUAAUACCGGAGAAUAUAUUGAACCGCAUGGUUCAAUAGUGAAAGACGGUUUUGCUGUCACUUGUAGAUGGAUCCGCGCCGGAUUAGCUAGUUGGUAAGGUAAGGGCUUACCAAGGCGACGAUCAGUAGCCGACCUGAGGGGGUGACCGGCCACACUGGAACUGAGACACGGUCCAGACUCCUACGGGAGGCAGCAGUAGGGAAUCUUGCGCAAUGGGCGAAAGCCUGACGGAGCAACGCCGCGUGAGUGAUGAAGGUCUUCGGAUCGUAAAGCUCUGUUAUUAGGGAAGAACAAAUGUGUAAUUAAAUAGGCGCGUCUUGACGGUACCUAAUCAGAAAGCAACGGCUAACUACGUG